rnacentral:rRNA from 1 species
AGAGAGAGACAUGCGCGCAUAUCAAUAAGCGGAGGAAAAGAAACUAACAAGGAUUCCCUUAGUAACGGCGAGUGAAGCGGGAAGAGCUCAAAUUUGAAAUCUUCAAGGUUUUACCUUGACGAAUUGUAGUUUAAAGAAGUGUUUUCUGCUGAAGUUUUGGUAAAAGUUCUUUGGAAUAGGACAUCAUAGAGGGUGAGAAUCCCGUAUUUGACCAUUAUUUUCAGCUUUGUGAUACACUUUCAAAGAGUCGGAUUGUUUGGGAAUGCAGUCCAAAAUGGGUGGUAAAUUUCAUCUAAAGCUAAAUAUUGGCGAGAGACCGAUAGCGAACAAGUACCGUGAGGGAAAGAUGAAAAGAACUUUGAAAAGAGAGUUAAACAGUACGUGAAAUUGUCAAAAGGGAAGCGUUUGACACCAGUGUUGUUUUCUCGAAAAUCAAUUAAAAAUGGCUCGAUUUUGUAUUGCUUGAGAACCUUAAAAGCUCACUGUACAUUUUUCGUGUCUUUUUUAAUGCACUUUUCGUUUAACAAGUCAACAUCAGUUUCUUUUGUUGUAAAAGGGUCAUUGGAAGGUGGCUUUCUUUUCGGAGAAAGUGUUUAUAGCCUUUGGCCUCUGCAAUCGGAGAGACUGAGGUCUGCAGCGUAGACUCUUCGGGGUUAGAUACAUUUGUGCUAAGUUAUAGCUUUUUAUAGACAACUUGUUGACUAUAAUUAGUCUUGUAGCUUACUCGCUUAUGCUAUUUUACCUACGCUUAGGAUGUUGAAGAUGUAGCACAUCAU